AUUGAACGCUGGCGGCAUGCCUUACACAUGCAAGUCGAACGGCAGCACGGGAGCAAUCCUGGUGGCGAGUGGCGAACGGGUGAGUAAAGUAUCGGAACGUGCCCAGUCGUGGGGGAUAACGUAGCGAAAGUUACGCUAAUACCGCAUACGAUCUAUGGAUGAAAGCGGGGGAUCGCAAGACCUCGCGCGAUUGGAGCGGCCGAUAUCAGAUUAGGUAGUUGGUGGGGUAAAGGCUCACCAAGCAGACGAUCUGUAGCUGGUCUGAGAGGACGGACAGCGACACAUGGAUUGAGACGAGGCCCAGAAUCCUACGGGAGGCAACAGGUGGGAAUUUUGGACAAUGGGCGAAAGCCUGAUCCAGCCAUGCCGCGUGCAGGAUGAAGGCCUUCGGGUUGUAAACUGCUUUUGUACGGAACGAAAAGGUUUGGACUAAUAAGCUGAGCUCAUGACGGUACCGUAAGAAUAAGCACCGGCUAACUACGUGCCAGCCGCCGCAGUAACAC
rnacentral:rRNA from 1 species